CAGCAACGCGCCUUCCCCACAGUCAUCCAGUACUCAUUUUCCGAAAGGAAUGCCUCUGGCCUCUUCUCCGGUCCAGCAACCUCUCGCGGCGUCGCAUCCUCGAGCUCCACGCGAGUCUCACGAUGAGCAUGCCGCGAUCGGUUCCGCGUCCGGUUGCAGCCCCCCGAUGGGUGGACAACAUGGACUGGAGUUGGGAAUGGGUAUUGGAACUUAACCCUAAGUAAUCGUUGGUUUUUUCAAGUUUUGCAGUUAUGUUGCUCGGCUUGUUUACUACGUCUUUGGUUCGAAACUUGCAAAGCUGAAAAGUGGCGCAACAGAAGAUCAAGGGCCGAAACACAAGCUGGGGAGCCCAGAGUCUUCGGACACAAAAGAGAUGUUCCCAUGAGUCAUUCUGGUAAUACCCUUCAUGAGGGAGCUCGUCAGGUUCAUCUGCUGGGCGUUAUACUCUGAUCAAGUCCCGACUGUUUCUUUGGUGCUCAAGUCAUUGGUGCGGUGGGAUAUACGUGUUGAUUACAUAUAUGCAACUCUCGGUGUGGAGGUUGUAUUCGGGUGCUUUCAAUUUUACUGUUUUCGAUGAGAGUCUUUUGACAACCUUCUGUCUAUCAACUUUGUUGGCAUAUCUCGACCGAAGAGCCGGGCAGAGCUCAAAUACACUGCCUACAUACAUACUGCUUUCUGUGUCAUCUCCUUGGCUAUACUUUCAUUCUUGCAUUGAUCCAACUCGUGGGAAUUGUCAGAAUCUGGCAGAGCGAGGUUUCAACCGCUUCACACGGAGAGUUUUCAGCCCUGAAUGAUCUGGUUUUGCCCUGCCGGCUAGCGGGAUUUCAGGUCUUCAUACAGAGAUGAUGCAGAAGGCGGUACUUGGUUAUACCAAGAAACGGCUGUAUUUGUUUGGCUCCUGCAUUGCCUUGAGCUCGAAGUUGUUGCAAUGUCUCCCAAGAUGACAGAAUGCGAAUUUGGUUCAGGGAAGCAUUCCAUAUGUUCCUAUUGACUACUAUGUCAAUCACUGUAUCCACCCCUUCGUACCUUGAUGAACAAUAAUAGGCCCAAGAAGCCUCCGCCACGGCACCAGCCACAGGCGUUGUUGAUGCUUGCAUCAAAGUCAAGAUCAGCUGCAUCAACCUUCUCCUCAUGGCCCCGUCCAUGAGAUGUCUGGAGGGCGCCAACACAAUGCCAUUUUCUUUUGGAAUUGGCCACCUGGCGUCUUUUCUUGCGCCUCGCGGUUUUUGUUGAUGUCUUUUGUCCGUUUGUGCCCGCUUGUUUUAUACCAGGCGAGGAAUCGAAAAACUUAUCUCUGAGGGCAUUGCUUACAAACAGAGAGAAGUCUGCUAUUUCUCCGCGUGGUGAUGAUCUGGACCCGAGCCUCGAAUUGCCAGUGGACCGGUUGUCUGUCGGAGUUGUGCGCUUCUACCGGGAUAACAGUGUUUUGAUGGAGAUCUAUGGAAGCAUAUUCGCCAGGGUGCAUGUCAGGGGUGAAAUUGGUGUAGUUGCGGUGGUGAGUCCACUCCUUUUGCUCACACGACUGACCUUGCCCUCUGGUGCAUCUCUAGUUAAUGAACGGCCCGGAACCGCUUGUGUGGGACCCAUCUCGAGUUGGAGUCAAGGUUUAGUGCCUGUCCG
rfam:Pseudogymnoascus pannorum VKM F-4516 (FW-969) contig_802, whole genome shotgun sequence.